CACGUUUUCCAUGCCAGUUUUCAGGGAACUGCUUAGAAUGAUAGAGGGGAGGCAGCAGUGCAGAGAGAGAGGAGAUGUCAGCAGUGAGAAAGCUCUUCCUGUGUCAGAAAGGGUCAGCGUGUGUGACACCGGUAGAGUAGAUGGAGCCAUGGCUGCAAGAAACAACAGCCUAGUGAGCAGCAUUCCAGCCAAGCCCCAGAACAGCCGGAAAAGGGAAGUUUUGGGCGGUGCGUGGCUCCCUCGCCUCCCCUUCCGCAGCCUGCUCCGCCCCGGGCUGCAGUGGAGCGGGGCCGCCGGGCAGUUUUCAGCAUGGCAGUGGACUGGCUCGGCUUUGGCUACGCCGCCCUGGUGGCAUCAGGAGGGCUUAUUGGCUAUGUAAAAGCAGGUACGGUGCGGGAAGGUGCUUGUAUCUCCCGUCGUCUCCCCCUACUCCCCAAGAACUUUGUGAGCUGGGCGGCUUUUUUUGAAAGCCGCCUAUGUCGAAGCUCACACAGAUGUAAAGUUUAUCAGUUUGUGCCACGUGCUGA
rnacentral:lncRNA from 1 species